GAGUGACACUGCGCCGAAAAUGUACCGGGGCUAAACAUAUUACCGAAGCUGUGGAUUGUCCGUAGGACAAUGGUAGGAGAGCGUUCUAAGGGCGUUGAAGCAUGAUCGUAAGGACAUGUGGAGCGCUUAGAAGUGAGAAUGCCGGUGUGAGUAGCGAAAGACGGGUGAGAAUCCCGUCCACCGAUUGACUAAGGUUUCCAGAGGAAGGCUCGUCCGCUCUGGGUUAGUCGGGUCCUAAGCUGAGGCCGAUAGGCGUAGGCGAUGGAUAACAGGUUGAUAUUCCUGUACCACCAUGUAUCGUUUUAAGCGAUGGGGGGACGCAGUAGGAUAGGCGAAGCGUACGAUUGGAUUGUACGUCCAAGCAGUAAGACUGAGUGUUAGGCAAAUCCGGCACUCUUAAGGUCAAGCUGUGAUGGGGAGAGGAAAUUGUUUCCUCGAGUCGUUGAUUUCACACUGCCGAGAAAAGCCUCUAGCUAGAUUUAUGGUGCCCGUACCGCAAACCGACACAGGUAGUCAAGAUGAGAAUUCUAAGGUGAGCGAGCGAACUCUCGUUAAGGAACUCGGCAAAAUGACCCCGUAACUUCGGGAGAAGGGGUGCUCUUUAGGGUUCACGCCCAGGAGAGCCGCAGUGAAUAGGCCCAAGCGACUGUUUAUCAAAAACACAGGUCUCUGCUAAACCGUAAGGUGAUGUAUAGGGGCUGACGCCUGCCCGGUGCUGGAAGGUUAAGAGGAGUGGUUAGCUUCUGCGAAGCUACGAAUCGAAGCCCCAGUAAACGGCGGCCGUAACUAUAACGGUCCUAAGGUAGCGAAAUUCCUUGUCGGGUAAGUUCCGACCCGCACGAAAGGCGUAACGAUUUGGGCACUGUCUCAACGAGAGACUCGGUGAAAUCAUAGUACCUGUGAAGAUGCAGGUUACCCGCGACAGGACGGAAAGACCCCGUGGAGCUUUACUGUAGUCUGAUAUUGAAAUUCGGUACAGCUUGUACAGGAUAGGUAGGAGCCUUAGAUACGUGAGCGCUAGCUUACGUGGAGGCGUUGGUGGGAUACUACCCUCGCUGUAUUGGAUUUCUAACCCGCACCAUUAAUCAUGGUGGGAGACAGUGUCAGAUGGACAGUUUGACUGGGGCGGUCGCCUCCUAAAGAGUAACGGAGGCGCUCAAAGGUUUCCUCAGAAUGGUUGGAAAUCAUUCAUAGAGUGUAAAGGCACAAGGAAGCUUGACUGCGAGACUUACAAGUCGAGCAGGGUCGAAAGACGGACUUAGUGAUCCGGUGGUUCCGCAUGGAAGGGCCAUCGCUCAACGGAUAAAAGCUACCCCGGGGAUAACAGGCUUAUCUCCCCCAAGAGUUCACAUCGACGGGGAGGUUUGGCACCUCGAUGUCGGCUCAUCGCAUCCUGGGGCUGUAGUCGGUCCCAAGGGUUGGGCUGUUCGCCCAUUAAAGCGGUACGCGAGCUGGGUUCAGAACGUCGUGAGACAGUUCGGUCCCUAUCCGUCGUGGGCGUAGGAAAUUUGAGAGGAGCUGUCCUUAGUACGAGAGGACCGGGAUGGACAUACCUCUGGUGUACCAGUUGUCGUGCCAACGGCAUCGCUGGGUAGCUAUGUAUGGACGGGAUAAGUGCUGAAAGCAUCUAAGCAUGAAGCCCCCCUCAAGAUGAGAUUUCCCAACUUCGGUUA
rnacentral:rRNA from 1 species